rnacentral:rRNA from 1 species
AUUGAACGCUGGCGGCAUGCCUUACACAUGCAAGUCGAACGGUAACAGGUCUUCGGAUGCUGACGAGUGGCGAACGGGUGAGUAAUACAUCGGAACGUGCCCAGACGUUGGGGAUAACGAGGCGAAAGCUUUGCUAAUACCGCAUACGAUCUAAGGAUUAAAGCAGGGGACCGCAAGGCCUUGCGCGUUUGGAGCGGCCGAUGGCAGAUUAGGUAGUUGGUGGGAUAAAAGCUUACCAAGCCGACGAUCUGUAGCUGGUCUGAGAGGGCGACCAGCCACACUGGGACUGAGACACGGCCCAGACUCCUACGGGAGGCAGCAGUGGGGAAUUUUGGACAAUGGGCGAAAGCCUGAUCCAGCAAUGCCGCGUGCAGGAUGAAGGCCUUCGGGUUGUAAACUGCUUUUGUACGGAACGAAAAGGCUCUGGCUAAUACCUGGGGCACAUGACGGUACCGUAAGAAUAAGCACCGGCUAACUACGUG